GAAAUGCGAUAACUAAUGUGAAUUGCAGAAUUCAGUGAAUCAUCGAGUCUUUGAACGCACAUUGCGCCCCCUGGUAUUCCGGGGGGCAUGCCUGUCCGAGCGUCAUUGCUGCCCUCAAGCCCGGCUUGUGUGUUGGGUCGCCGUCCCCCUCUCCGGGGGGACGGGCCCGAAAGGCAGCGGCGGCACCGCGUCCGAUCCUCGAGCGUAUGGGGCUUUGUCACAUGCUCUGUAGGAUUGGCCGGCGCCUGCCGUCGUUUUCCAACCAUUCUUUCCAGGUUGACCUCGGAUCAGGUAGGGAUACCCGCUGAACUUAAGC
rnacentral:misc_RNA from 1 species